ACUACGCUGGCGGCGUGCCUAAUACAUGCAAGUCGAACGGGAUCUUUGAUCAGCUUGCUGAGAGAAGGAUCUAGUGGCGGACGGGUGAGUAACGCGUGGGAAUCUGCCUCUUACUGGGGGAUAACAGUGGGAAACUACUGCUAAUACCGCAUAAGAUCUUCGGAUGAAAGGUGCAACUGCACCGGUAAGAGAUGAGCCCGCGUCCCAUUAGCUAGUUGGUGAGGUAAAGGCUCACCAAGGCGACGAUGGGUAGCCGGCCUGAGAGGGUGAACGGCCACACUGGGACUGAGACACGGCCCAGACUCCUACGGGAGGCAGCAGUAGGGAAUCUUCCGCAAUGGGCGCAAGCCUGACGGAGCGACGCCGCGUGAGUGAUGAAGGCCUUCGGGUCGUAAAGCUCUGUUCUUGAGGACGAAUAAGCCAGGGAGUGGAAAGCCCUGGUGAUGACUGUACUCAAGGAGAAAGCUCCGGCUAACUACGUG
rnacentral:rRNA from 1 species